rnacentral:pre_miRNA from 1 species
AAUAACCUUAUUUUUCGUUUUUUCAUGUCUAACGUUUGACUAUUCAUAUUAUUUGAAAUUUUUUAGCGAUUAAUAUUUUUAUUAUUACUAGAUAAUAAAAUAUAAAUAGUAUUUUAUAUGUGACUAUUUUUUUAAAAUUUUUAUAUAAAAUUUUUAAAUAAGAUGAAUAGUAAAACGUUGGAUAGAAAAAAC